GUCUGUGGCCAUACUGCCCUGAAUGUGUCUGAUCCUGGAAGCUAACCAGGGCUGGGCCUGAUUAAUAUGUAUAGAGGAGCUGGUUUGGGAAUACCAGUAUUGUAGGCU
rnacentral:rRNA from 1 species